GAUGAAGAACGCAGCGAAAUGCGAUAAGUAGUGUGAAUUGCAGAAUUCAGUGAAUCAUCGAAUCUUUGAACGCACAUUGCGCCCCUUGGUAUUCCAUGGGGCAUGCCUGUUCGAGCGUCAUUUGUACCUUCAAGCUUUGCUUGGUGUUGGGUGUUUGUCUCGCCUUUGCGUGUAGACUCGCCUUAAAAUAAUUGGCAGCCGGCGUAUUGAUUUCGGAGCGCAGUACAUCUCGUGCUUUGCACUCAUAACGACAGCGUCCAAAAGUACAUUUUACACUCUUGACCUCGGAUCAGGUAGGGAUACCCGCUGAACUUAAGCAUAUCAAUAAGCGGAGGA
rnacentral:misc_RNA from 1 species